GGGGGCUAGCGUUGCUCGGAAUCACUGGGCGUAAAGGGUGCGUAGGCGGGGUUUUAAGUCAGAGGGGAAAUCCUGGAGCUCAACUCCAGAACUGCCUUUGAUACUGAGAAUCUUGAGUUCGGGAGAGGUGAGUGGAACUGCGAGUGUAGAGGUGAAAUUCGUAGAUAUUCGCAAGAACCCCAGUGGCGAAGGCGGCUCACUGGCCCGAUACUGACGCUGAGGCACGAAAGCGUGGGGAGCAAACAGG
rnacentral:rRNA from 1 species